rnacentral:rRNA from 1 species
GACGAACGCUGGCGGCGUGCCUAACACAUGCAAGUCGAACGGAACUGUUUUGAAAGAUUUCUUCGGAAUGAAUUUGAUUUAGUUUAGUGGCGGACGGGUGAGUAACGCGUGAGUAACCUGCCUUCAAGAGGGGAAUAACAUUCUGAAAAGAAUGCUAAUACCGCAUGACAUAUCGGAACCACAUGGUUUUGAUAUCAAAGAUUUUAUCGCUUGAAGAUGGACUCGCGUCCGAUUAGUUAGUUGGUGAGGUAACGGCUCACCAAGACCGCGAUCGGUAGCCGGACUGAGAGGUUGAACGGCCACAUUGGGACGGAGACACGGCCCAGACUCCUACGGGAGGCAGCAGUAGGGGAGAUUGCGCAAUGGGGGCAACCCUGACGCAGCAACGCCGCGUGAAGGAUGAAGGUUUUCGGAUUGUAAACUUCUUUUAUUAAGGACGAAAAAUGACGGUACUUAAUGAAUAAGCGCCGGCUAACUACGUG